rnacentral:rRNA from 1 species
AGAGUUUGAUCCUGGCUCAGGACGAACGCUGGCGGCGCGCCUAACACAUGCAAGUCGAACGAGCGAGAGAGAGCUUGCUUUCUCAAGCGAGUGGCGAACGGGUGAGUAACGCGUGAGGAACCUGCCUCAAAGAGGGGGACAACAGUUGGAAACGACUGCUAAUACCGCAUAAGCCCACAGCUCGGCAUCGAGCAGAGGGAAAAGGAGCAAUCCGCUUUGAGAUGGCCUCGCGUCCGAUUAGCUAGUUGGUGAGGUAACGGCCCACCAAGGCGACGAUCGGUAGCCGGACUGAGAGGUUGAACGGCCACAUUGGGACUGAGACACGGCCCAGACUCCUACGGGAGGCAGCAGUGGGGAAUAUUGCACAAUGGGGGAAACCCUGAUGCAGCGACGCCGCGUGGAGGAAGAAGGUCUUCGGAUUGUAAACUCCUGUUGUUGAGGAAGAUAAUGACGGUACUCAACAAGGAAGUGACGGCUAACUACGUGCCAGCAGCCGCGGUAAAACGUAGGUCACAAGCGUUGUCCGGAAUUACUGGGUGUAAAGGGAGCGCAGGCGGGAAGACAAGUUGGAAGUGAAAUCUAUGGGCUCAACCCAUAAACUGCUUUCAAAACUGUUUUUCUUGAGUAGUGCAGAGGUAGGCGGAAUUCCCGGUGUAGCGGUGGAAUGCGUAGAUAUCGGGAGGAACACCAGUGGCGAAGGCGGCCUACUGGGCACCAACUGACGCUGAGGCUCGAAAGUGUGGGUAGCAAACAGGAUUAGAUACCCUGGUAGUCCACACCGUAAACGAUGAUUACUAGGUGUUGGAGGAUUGACCCCUUCAGUGCCGCAGUUAACACAAUAAGUAAUCCACCUGGGGAGUACGACCGCAAGGUUGAAACUCAAAGGAAUUGACGGGGGCCCGCACAAGCAGUGGAGUAUGUGGUUUAAUUCGACGCAACGCGAAGAACCUUACCAAGUCUUGACAUCCUGCGACGCACAUAGAAAUAUGUGUUUCCUUCGGGACGCAGAGACAGGUGGUGCAUGGUUGUCGUCAGCUCGUGUCGUGAGAUGUUGGGUUAAGUCCCGCAACGAGCGCAACCCUUACUGUCAGUUACUACGCAAGAGGACUCUGGCAGGACUGCCGUUGACAAAACGGAGGAAGGUGGGGAUGACGUCAAAUCAUCAUGCCCUUUAUGACUUGGGCUACACACGUACUACAAUGGCGUUAAACAAAGAGAAGCAAGACCGCGAGGUGGAGCAAAACUCAGAAACAACGUCCCAGUUCGGACUGCAGGCUGCAACUCGCCUGCACGAAGUCGGAAUUGCUAGUAAUCGUGGAUCAGCAUGCCACGGUGAAUACGUUCCCGGGCCUUGCACACACCGCCCGUCA